rnacentral:lncRNA from 1 species
UGGAGCCAGCUCUAAAGCAGCUCUGUACCACUUGGGUAGCCUCCACUGGGGACAUUUGGAACUUGGCGCUAGAGUGAAAUCUUCAGACUCUAAGUUAAAGGGGCAUAUAAAAAUGUUACUAGCAUGGGCGGCAAAAGCAGCACUACCUAUGGGAAAAGCAGCCAAUCUCUGGCAAUGAAUAAGUGUAAUUGAUCACAAAAGAUGACUUGAUGGCCCUUCCAAACGUGCUUUUAGCAAAGUGGACAGUUUUUCAUUCAAAUGCAAGCUCACCCAGAUAAAAUCUAAUAAUGGAGACUUUGGAACAAUCCCAGCGUCAGCAAUUCCUUUUUUUCCCCCACUCUCCUUCUCUGAACAGGAAGGCAUCUUAAGUUCCUGGUCACAGCUUGACCUAAUCAGAUGACAAUUUAUGCUUUCCCUAAGGCUGAGGAGACCCUGACAGUCCCUGGGGCAGCAAAAGGCUCCUAGGCUCCUAGGAAGUGACAGAUCAGGUGCCACCUUCUUUCCUCGGAAGAGAACACUCAGCAAAGGAAGAGGCUGGCGCCUGAGGUUAAACAGGACCAACCAAGUGUCUCAGGGAGGAGCGGGGAAGUGAGCAGCAGGCGAGGCCUAGGACAGGAGCGGCGGGGAUCUAGAGAGGGGUGCGCCUACCUGCCAAGGAGCCGUCCUCGUGGUCGGAGCUGUUGUAGCUGCAGUCACUGCCCCUCUCGGGCGAGCUGUGGCCCGGCGAGUCCCGCUCCGGCAACCCCAGGUACCUCUUGCGCCGCCACGGGGGGAGGUGCUCGCGAGCCCUCCGCCGUGGCGGCUCCUCUGCCACCGGGGGCGAGCCCCGCCCGUCCUUGGCCUCUGCCUCCAGUUGCUCCAGGUCGCGGCUCCCGCGCAGCUGCCGCCGGCCGCCG